rnacentral:rRNA from 1 species
AUUGAACGCUGGCGGAAUGCUUUACACAUGCAAGCCGAGCGGCAGCGCGGGGGCGAACCCUGGCGGCGAGCGGCGAACGGGUGAGUAAUGUAUCGGAACGUACCCAGUCGUGGGGGAGUAACUAUCCGAAAGGAUAGCUAAUACCGCAUACGACCUGAGGGUGAAAGCGGGGGACCGGUAAGGCCUCGCACGAUUGGAGCGGCCGAUAUCGGAUUAGCUAGUUGGUGAGGUAAAGGCUCACCAAGGCGACGAUCCGUAGCUGGUCUGAGAGGACGACCAGCCACACUGGAACUGAGACACGGUCCAGACUCCUACGGGA